GUGGGUAUGACUUAGUGGUAGAGUACAUACUUAGCAUAUAUAUGGUCCUGGGUUCAAUCCCCAAUACCUCCA
rnacentral:tRNA from 1 species